UACGAAGGGGGCUAGCGUUGUUCGGAAUUACUGGGCGUAAAGCGCGCGCAGGCGGUUUCUCAAGUCAGUGGUGAAAGCCCGGAGCUCAACUCCGGAACUGCCAUUGAAACUGUGAAACUUGAGGACGAGAGAGGUGAGUGGAAUUCCCAGUGUAGAGGUGAAAUUCGUAGAUAUUGGGAAGAACACCAGUGGCGAAGGCGGCUCACUGGCUCGUUUCUGACGCUCAGGCGCGACAGCGUGGGGAUCAAACAGG
rnacentral:rRNA from 1 species